ACUUUAUUAAGAAUGGUGGAGGGACUGGCCCUAUGAAACCUAGCAACCUACGAAAUAUAAAAUUAUUUUAUAAAUAAGUGUGGUGCUAAAUCCUGCAAGCUGAUGCUUGGCAAAUAAGGU
rfam:Clostridium sp. 7_2_43FAA genomic scaffold supercont2.3, whole genome shotgun sequence.